rnacentral:rRNA from 1 species
GGGUUGUGAGGUUAAGCGACUAAGCGUACACGGUGGAUGCCCUGGCAGUCAGAGGCGAUGAAGGACGUGCUAAUCUGCGAUAAGCGUCGGUAAGGUGAUAUGAACCGUUAUAACCGGCGAUUUCCGAAUGGGGAAACCCAGUGUGUUUCGACACACUAUCAUUAACUGAAUCCAUAGGUUAAUGAGGCGAACCGGGGGAACUGAAACAUCUAAGUACCCCGAGGAAAAGAAAUCAACCGAGAUUCCCCCAGUAGCGGCGAGCGAACGGGGAGCAGCCCAGAGCCUGAAUCAGUGUGUGUGUUAGUGGAAGCGUCUGGAAAGGCGCGCGAUACAGGGUGACAGCCCCGUACACAAAAAUGCACAUGCUGUGAGCUCGAUGAGUAGGGCGGGACACGUGGUAUCCUGUCUGAAUAUGGGGGGACCAUCCUCCAAGGCUAAAUACUCCUGACUGACCGAUAGUGAACCAGUACCGUGAGGGAAAGGCGAAAAGAACCCCGGCGAGGGGAGUGAAAAAGAACCUGAAACCGUGUACGUACAAGCAGUGGGAGCACGCUUAGGCGUGUGACUGCGUACCUUUUGUAUAAUGGGUCAGCGACUUAUAUUCUGUAGCAAGGUUAACCGAAUAGGGGAGCCGAAGGGAAACCGAGUCUUAACUGGGCGUUAAGUUGCAGGGUAUAGACCCGAAACCCGGUGAUCUAGCCAUGGGCAGGUUGAAGGUUGGGUAACACUAACUGGAGGACCGAACCGACUAAUGUUGAAAAAUUAGCGGAUGACUUGUGGCUGGGGGUGAAAGGCCAAUCAAACCGGGAGAUAGCUGGUUCUCCCCGAAAGCUAUUUAGGUAGCGCCUCGUGAAUUCAUCUCCGGGGGUAGAGCACUGUUUCGGCAAGGGGGUCAUCCCGACUUACCAACCCGAUGCAAACUGCGAAUACCGGAGAAUGUUAUCACGGGAGACACACGGCGGGUGCUAACGUCCGUCGUGAAGAGGGAAACAACCCAGACCGCCAGCUAAGGUCCCAAAGUCAUGGUUAAGUGGGAAACGAUGUGGGAAGGCCCAGACAGCCAGGAUGUUGGCUUAGAAGCAGCCAUCAUUUAAAGAAAGCGUAAUAGCUCACUGGUCGAGUCGGCCUGCGCGGAAGAUGUAACGGGGCUAAACCAUGCACCGAAGCUGCGGCAGCGACGCUGAUGCGUUGUUGGGUAGGGGAGCGUUCUGUAAGCCUGUGAAGGUGUGCUGUGAGGCAUGCUGGAGGUAUCAGAAGUGCGAAUGCUGACAUAAGUAACGAUAAAGCGGGUGAAAAGCCCGCUCGCCGGAAGACCAAGGGUUCCUGUCCAACGUUAAUCGGGGCAGGGUGAGUCGACCCCUAAGGCGAGGCCGAAAGGCGUAGUCGAUGGGAAACAGGUUAAUAUUCCUGUACUUGGUGUUACUGCGAAGGGGGGACGGAGAAGGCUAUGUUGGCCGGGCGACGGUUGUCCCGGUUUAAGCGUGUAGGCUGGUUUUCCAGGCAAAUCCGGAAAAUCAAGGCUGAGGCGUGAUGACGAGGCACUACGGUGCUGAAGCAACAAAUGCCCUGCUUCCAGGAAAAGCCUCUAAGCAUCAGGUAACAUCAAAUCGUACCCCAAACCGACACAGGUGGUCAGGUAGAGAAUACCAAGGCGCUUGAGAGAACUCGGGUGAAGGAACUAGGCAAAAUGGUGCCGUAACUUCGGGAGAAGGCACGCUGAUAUGUAGGUGAAGUCCCUCGCGGAUGGAGCUGAAAUCAGUCGAAGAUACCAGCUGGCUGCAACUGUUUAUUAAAAACACAGCACUGUGCAAACACGAAAGUGGACGUAUACGGUGUGACGCCUGCCCGGUGCCGGAAGGUUAAUUGAUGGGGUUAGCGCAAGCGAAGCUCUUGAUCGAAGCCCCGGUAAACGGCGGCCGUAACUAUAACGGUCCUAAGGUAGCGAAAUUCCUUGUCGGGUAAGUUCCGACCUGCACGAAUGGCGUAAUGAUGGCCAGGCUGUCUCCACCCGAGACUCAGUGAAAUUGAACUCGCUGUGAAGAUGCAGUGUACCCGCGGCAAGACGGAAAGACCCCGUGAACCUUUACUAUAGCUUGACACUGAACAUUGAGCCUUGAUGUGUAGGAUAGGUGGGAGGCUUUGAAGUGUGGACGCCAGUCUGCAUGGAGCCGACCUUGAAAUACCACCCUUUAAUGUUUGAUGUUCUAACGUUGACCCGUGAUCCGGGUUGCGGACAGUGUCUGGUGGGUAGUUUGACUGGGGCGGUCUCCUCCUAAAGAGUAACGGAGGAGCACGAAGGUUGGCUAAUCCUGGUCGGACAUCAGGAGGUUAGUGCAAUGGCAUAAGCCAGCUUGACUGCGAGCGUGACGGCGCGAGCAGGUGCGAAAGCAGGUCAUAGUGAUCCGGUGGUUCUGAAUGGAAGGGCCAUCGCUCAACGGAUAAAAGGUACUCCGGGGAUAACAGGCUGAUACCGCCCAAGAGUUCAUAUCGACGGCGGUGUUUGGCACCUCGAUGUCGGCUCAUCACAUCCUGGGGCUGAAGUAGGUCCCAAGGGUAUGGCUGUUCGCCAUUUAAAGUGGUACGCGAGCUGGGUUUAGAACGUCGUGAGACAGUUCGGUCCCUAUCUGCCGUGGGCGCUGGAGAACUGAGGGGGGCUGCUCCUAGUACGAGAGGACCGGAGUGGACGCAUCACUGGUGUUCGGGUUGUCAUGCCAAUGGCACUGCCCGGUAGCUAAAUGCGGAAGAGAUAAGUGCUGAAAGCAUCUAAGCACGAAACUUGCCCCGAGAUGAGUUCUCCCUGAC